rnacentral:rRNA from 1 species
AUUGAACGCUGGCGGCGUGCCUAACACAUGCAAGUCGAGCGGUAACAGGUGUAGCAAUACAUGCUGACGAGCGGCGGACGGGUGAGCAAUGUUUGGGAAUCUGCCUAUUAGUGGGGGACAACCCGGGGAAACUCGGGCUAAUACCGCAUACGCUCUACGGAGGAAAGCCGGGGACCGCAAGGCCUGGCGCUAAUAGAUGAGCCCAAAUUGGAUUAGCUAGUUGGUGAGGUAACGGCUCACCAAGGCGACGAUCCAUAGCUGGUUUGAGAGAACGACCGGCCACACCGGAACUGAGACACGGUCCGGACUCCUACGGGAGGCAGCAGUGGGGAAUAUUGGACAAUGGGGGCAACCCUGAUCCAGCGACGCCGCGUGGGUGAAGAAGGCCUGUGGGUUGUAAAGCCCUUUCGGUGGGGAUAAAAAGCCUUGGUUUAACACACCAGGGUCUUGAUCUAACCCAAGAAAGAAGCACCGGCUAACUCUGUGCCAGCAGCCGCAGUAAGAC